GAUGAACGCUGGCGGCGUGCCUAAUACAUGCAAGUCGAGCGAACAGACGAGGAGCUUGCUCCUCUGACGUUAGCGGCGGACGGGUGAGUAACACGUGGAUAACCUACCUAUAAGACUGGGAUAACUUCGGGAAACCGGAGCUAAUACCGGAUAAUAUAUUGAACCGCAUGGUUCAAUAGUGAAAGACGGUUUUGCUGUCACUUAUAGAUGGAUCCGCGCCGCAUUAGCUAGUUGGUAAGGUAACGGCUUACCAAGGCGACGAUGCGUAGCCGACCUGAGAGGGUGAUCGGCCACACUGGAACUGAGACACGGUCCAGACUCCUACGGGAGGCAGCAGGUGGGAAUCUUCCGCAAUGGGCGAAAGCCUGACGGAGCAACGCCGCGUGAGUGAUGAAGGUCUUCGGAUCGUAAAACUCUGUUAUUAGGGAAGAACAAAUGUGUAAGUAACUAUGCACGUCUUGACGGUACCUAAUCAGAAAGCCACGGCUAACUACGU
rnacentral:rRNA from 1 species